rnacentral:rRNA from 1 species
AGCAGUCGCCGCGGGAAUACGUAGGGUGCAAGCGUUAAUCGGAAUUACUGGGCGUAAAGCGUGCGCAGGCGGUUUGUUAAGACAGAUGUGAAAUCCCCGGGCUCAACCUGGGAACUGCAUUUGUGACUGGCAAGCUAGAGUCUGGCAGAGGGGGGUGGAAUUCCGCGUGUAGCAGUGAAAUGCGUAGAUAUGCGGAGGAACACCGAUGGCGAAGGCAGCCCCCUGGGCCAACACUGACGCUCAUGCACGAAAGCGUGGGGAGCAAACAGGAUUAGAGACCCCAGUAGUCCCUGUCUCUUAUAC